rnacentral:lncRNA from 1 species
UCCAGGCAGUCAGCUUUCCAUGCUAAUCCUUCAUCUGGUAGCUCAGGCAUGAACUCUAGCCACAGUCCAAUCCAUGCAGUUUAGUGGGGUGCAUUCUCAUGAUAUGUUUCCUGUUAAUAUAUGAUAAUCAUAAUGUUAUGUAGUUUGGUUGGGUUAGUUAUAGUUCUAUUUGUUGGGUUCUUGUUAAUAUAUGAUAAUCAUAAUGUUAUGUAGUUUGGUUGGGUUAGUUAUAGUUCUAUUUGUUGGAUCGAUCUUAAUAAGAUUCAUUUAGGGGUUGACAGCAUAGUUGUCAGUACUCUCGUAGCUUGUAGGCACUCUUGUUUUGAAGUAUUCAAGUUGUUGACAUUUUGACUUUGAGUCAAAAAAUUUCGUUCUCCUGCUUUGUUUUCUUUUAAUUUUUGUUUAGAGUGUUGCGACUGUGAAUAUUGAUGUAGUGAAGUACAUUUUUUUCUCUCUUUUAUUGGAGGUGCUAUUAUACUAAAGAAUGCUUUACCUCUUCAGCCCAGAUAUAAAGAAGCAGGGGUUCUUGUUCUCUGCAUGAUAUCCUAAACCUGGCAGCACAUAUAGAAGUUUGUGAAGAUGUGAAACUAUAGUUCUGUGAAUGACUCAACAACAACAACAACCCAGUAUAAUCCCACUUAGUGGGGUCUGGGGAGGGUAGUAUGUACNNN